rnacentral:rRNA from 1 species
CGUGCCUAAUACAUGCAAGUCGAGCGGAAUGAUGAAGAAGCUUGCUUCUUCUGAUUUUAGCGGCGGACGGGUGAGUAACACGUGGGCAACCUACCUUGUAGAUUGGGAUAACUCCGGGAAACCGGGGCUAAUACCGAAUAAUCCAUUUUUGCUUCAUGGCGAGAUGUUGAAAGACGGUUUCGGCUGUCACUACAAGAUGGGCCCGCGGCGCAUUAGCUAGUUGGUAGGGUAAUGGCCUACCAAGGCGACGAUGCGUAGCCGACCUGAGAGGGUGAUCGGCCACACUGGGACUGAGACACGGCCCAGACUCCUACGGGAGGCAGCAGUAGGGAAUCUUCCACAAUGGACGAAAGUCUGAUGGAGCAACGCCGCGUGAGUGAAGAAGGUUUUCGGAUCGUAAAACUCUGUUGUAAGGGAAGAACACGUACGAGAGUAACUGCUCGUACCUUGACGGUACCUUAUUAGAAAGCCACGGCUAACUACGUG